rnacentral:rRNA from 1 species
UACAGAGGGUGCAAGCGUUAAUCGGAAUUACUGGGCGUAAAGCGCACGUAGGCGGCUUGGUAUGUCGGGUGUGAAAUCCCCGGGCUCAACCUGGGAACUGCAUCCGAAACUGCCUUGCUGGAGUAUGGGAGAGGGAAGCGGAAUUUCCGGUGUAGCGGUGAAAUGCGUAGAUAUCGGAAGGAACAUCAGUGGCGAAGGCGGCUUCCUGGACCAAUACUGACGCUCAGGUGAGAAAGCGUGGGGAGCAAACAGG